UUAAACUGAAGAGUUUGAUCCUGGCUCAGAUUGAACGCUGGUGGCAUGCUUAACACAUGCAAGUCGAACGGUAACAGGUCUUAGGAUGCUGACGAGUGGCGGACGGGUGAGUAACGCGUAGGAAUCUGCCCAUUUGAGGGGGAUACCAGUUGGAAACGACUGUUAAUACCGCAUAAUAUCUGUGGAUUAAAGGUGGCUUUCGGGCUGUCGCAGAUGGAUGAGCCUGCGUUGGAUUAGCUAGUUGGUGGGGUAAGGGCCCACCAAGGCUACGAUCCAUAGCUGAUUUGAGAGGAUGAUCAGCCACAUUGGG
rnacentral:rRNA from 1 species